AUACUUUCCUAGACCGUAGCCAAGGGGGAUUUUGGUCUAGAUUUAAAUCAAAGGCAAAACAAAAUCCGUUUGUCCCAAUUGGUUUUAACGCGUGAAGACCCUUGGUUGAUGCACGAUUAGCACCAUGAGCAUGAUUUACGAACGGUACAGCGCAACACUACUCCCGUAGAAAUGGAAUCGUGUUAACUGGGGACAAUCCUAGACCAGAGUUUUAAGAGAAAUCUGGCCUUCAUUGAGGUUGCCCAGUGUAUCAACCAUGUGCAACACCAUUUGUUGCUGUUCUCGAAAUAAAAUGGGUCUAGUGGCGACAACUUGCUGUCUUGGGUACGGUCUGUAUGCAAUGCAAUCUGGCCAAACUUACAAAUCGCAGAUGAUGAUGAGAGCCAG